rnacentral:rRNA from 1 species
UACGAAGGUGGCAAGCGUUACUCGGAAUUACUAGGCGUAAAGGGCAGGUAGGUGGUUUGGUUAGUCUGUUGUGAAAGCUCCUGGCUUAACUGGGAGAGGUCAACGGAUACUGCCGAACUUGAGUAUAGGAGAGGUUACUGGAAUUCCCGGUGUAGCGGUGAAAUGCGCAGAGAUCGGGAGGAACACCAAUGGCGAAAGCAGGUAACUGGACUAUUACUGACACUCAGCUGCGAAAGCUAGGGGAGCAAACAGG